GAUUUUUAAGAGUAUCUCGUCGGUGGUAUCUGCCAUUACAAUUUACCAACCAUAACGUAAGAAUAGAAAUACAGUAGAAAUAAAGCACGUCUUGCUAAUAUGAUAUUAUAAUGCAGAACCUACUAGUUUUCUAUAUUUCUAACAAUGUCACAGAAACAGUAGAUUGUGCUCGGCUGUUGCUACAUUUCUACUAAUAAUAUAUAUGCAACACACAUUUACAAUAUAUGCUUUUGAUAAAUCUGGGUUACUAUAUCACAUAUUCAAAUAAUAAGUAUAUAUCCUACAAAGAUAAAUUUUGAGCAGAACAUGCUACCAAUUUCUGAAGAUAGAAAGACAACAAAUUACACUCAAAAUCUAUAAUGUCUGUCAAUGUCGGCAAACUGCUGUCAGAAAUGUGACAAAAUCUGUUGACAUGCUAUACCGCAAUAGUAUCCGCCUGCACAGAUCUUGCUCGGUUUCUGUCGUCAGUUUGCUAAUUUAGCAUGUGAUCCUAAUGCAGACACAGAUUGCUAUCUACAAUAAGAAUCGAACCGAAUUGAUCUGCUGUCAAUCUGUCAAAAAAUCUGCUGGAAUAUUGCCAUCUGGGUAUAUCAGCAUUUUGCCUAUAGCAUUAAUCUGUUUUUAACAGACUUAGCUGUUUGAGAUAUCGAUCCAGCAAAAAUUUUGUGCACGAUGUUGCCAAAUGGAAAACAAAUUGCCAGAGAAUGAUAAUGCUAAAGCCAAGGUCUACUAUAUGUUAUUAGUUGAUUUCCAGUGUGCACCAAGUCUGAGGAACAUAUUUCGCAGUCAAAUUGAUGACAACAGAUCAGAUCUGAUAAUAGCAUACGACAACAGAUUGACAACUCCAGGACAGAUCUGUUUACUGCAAGAUACACACGUUGCAUAUUUACGAAUUGUUUGCAAUAGCAAAACUGCUUGGCAUUUGCCAUCAAUCUGCCACCAAUUCAAAUAAUCUAAAUAUAAGGAGUAUUUACAUGUUA